rnacentral:rRNA from 1 species
ACGCUCGACACCUACGGGAGGCAGCAGUCGGGAAUAUUGCGCAAUGGAGGAAACUCUGACGCAGUGACGCCGCGUGCAGGAAGAAGGUUUUCGGAUUGUAAACUGCUUUAGACAGGGAAGAGGAAGGACAGUACCUGUAGAAUAAGCUCCGGCUAACUACGUGCCACAGCCGCGGUAAUCUGAGCGGGCUGGCAAGGC